GCGUUGGGUGCCAUGGUGUGGCAAAUGGGCUGAGGGGCUAGGGUGUCCUCAGUGGGGGACCGUUGUCCAGAAACAGGCCCCCGACAGCUGCUCGCGGGAGCCGCCUCCCGACACCCGAGCCCCGCCGGCGCCUCGCGCUCCCGGCUCCCGGCUCCCUCCGCCUACCCCGCCCCUCGCCCCGCCGCCGAAGAGGCCCCGCUCCCGGGUCGGACGCCUGGGUCUGCCGGGAAGAGCGAUGA
rnacentral:sRNA from 1 species